rnacentral:rRNA from 1 species
UUAAGUUAUUAAGGGCGCACGGUGGAUGCCUUGGCACUAGAAGCCGAUGAAGGACGUUACUAACGACGAUAUGCUUUGGGGAGCUGUAAGUAAGCUUUGAUCCAGAGAUUUCCGAAUGGGGAAACCCAACAUGAGUUAUGUCAUGUUAUCGAUAUGUGAAUACAUAGCAUAUCAGAAGGCACACCCGGAGAACUGAAACAUCUUAGUACCCGGAGGAAGAGAAAGAAAAUUCGAUUCCCUUAGUAGCGGCGAGCGAAACGGGAAGAGCCCAAACCAACAAGCUUGCUUGUUGGGGUUGUAGGACACUCUAUACGGAGUUACAAAGGACGACAUUAGACGAAUCAUCUGGAAAGAUGAAUCAAAGAAGGUAAUAAUCCUGUAGUCGAAAAUGUUGUCUCUCUUGAGUGGAUCCUGAGUACGACGGAGCACGUGAAAUUCCGUCGGAAUCUGGGAGGACCAUCUCCUAAGGCUAAAUACUCUCUAGUGACCGAUAGUGAACCAGUACCGUGAGGGAAAGGUGAAAAGCACCCCGGAAGGGGAGUGAAAUAGAACCUGAAACCGUGUGCUUACAAGUAGUCAGAGCCCGUUAAUGGGUGAUGGCGUGCCUUUUGUAGAAUGAACCGGCGAGUUACGAUUUGAUGCAAGGUUAAGCAGUAAAUGUGGAGCCGUAGCGAAAGCGAGUCUGAAUAGGGCGUUUAGUAUUUGGUCGUAGACCCGAAACCAGGUGAUCUACCCUUGGUCAGGUUGAAGUUCAGGUAACACUGAAUGGAGGACCGAACCGACUUACGUUGAAAAGUGAGCGGAUGAACUGAGGGUAGCGGAGAAAUUCCAAUCGAACCUGGAGAUAGCUGGUUCUCUCCGAAAUAGCUUUAGGGCUAGCCUCAAGUGAUGAUUAUUGGAGGUAGAGCACUGUUUGGACGAGGGGCCCCUCUCGGGUUACCGAAUUCAGACAAACUCCGAAUGCCAAUUAAUUUAACUUGGGAGUCAGAACAUGGGUGAUAAGGUCCGUGUUCGAAAGGGAAACAGCCCAGACCACCAGCUAAGGUCCCAAAAUAUAUGUUAAGUGGAAAAGGAUGUGGCGUUGCCCAGACAACUAGGAUGUUGGCUUAGAAGCAGCCAUCAUUUAAAGAGUGCGUAAUAGCUCACUAGUCGAGUGACACUGCGCCGAAAAUGUACCGGGGCUAAACAUAUUACCGAAGCUGUGGAUUGUCCUUUGGACAAUGGUAGGAGAGCGUUCUAAGGGCGUUGAAGCAUGAUCGNAAGGACAUGUGGAGCGCUUAGAAGUGAGAAUGCCGGUGUGAGUAGCGAAAGACGGGUGAGAAUCCCGUCCACCGAUUGACUAAGGUUUCCAGAGGAAGGCUCGUCCGCUCUGGGUUAGUCGGGUCCUAAGCUGAGGCCGACAGGCGUAGGCGAUGGAUAACAGGUUGAUAUUCCUGUACCACCUAUAAUCGUUUUAAUCGAUGGGGGGACGCAGUAGGAUAGGCGAAGCGUGCGAUUGGAUUGCACGUCUAAGCAGUAAGGCUGAGUAUUAGGCAAAUCCGGUACUCAUUAAGGCUGAGCUGUGAUGGGGAGAAGACAUUGUGUCUUCGAGUCGUUGAUUUCACACUGCCGAGAAAAGCCUCUAGAUAGAAAAUAGGUGCCCGUACCGCAAACCGACACAGGUAGUCAAGAUGAGAAUUCUAAGGUGAGCGAGCGAACUCUCGUUAAGGAACUCGGCAAAAUGACCCCGUAACUUCGGGAGAAGGGGUGCUCUUUAGGGUUAACGCCCAGAAGAGCCGCAGUGAAUAGGCCCAAGCGACUGUUUAUCAAAAACACAGGUCUCUGCUAAACCGUAAGGUGAUGUAUAGGGGCUGACGCCUGCCCGGUGCUGGAAGGUUAAGAGGAGUGGUUAGCUUCUGCGAAGCUACGAAUCGAAGCCCCAGUAAACGGCGGCCGUAACUAUAACGGUCCUAAGGUAGCGAAAUUCCUUGUCGGGUAAGUUCCGACCCGCACGAAAGGCGUAACGAUUUGGGCACUGUCUCAACGAGAGACUCGGUGAAAUCAUAGUACCUGUGAAGAUGCAGGUUACCCGCGACAGGACGGAAAGACCCCGUGGAGCUUUACUGUAGCCUGAUAUUGAAAUUCGGCACAGCUUGUACAGGAUAGGUAGGAGCCUUUGAAACGUGAGCGCUAGCUUACGUGGAGGCGCUGGUGGGAUACUACCCUAGCUGUGUUGGCUUUCUAACCCGCACCACUUAUCGUGGUGGGAGACAGUGUCAGGCGGGCAGUUUGACUGGGGCGGUCGCCUCCUAAAAGGUAACGGAGGCGCUCAAAGGUUCCCUCAGAAUGGUUGGAAAUCAUUCAUAGAGUGUAAAGGCAUAAGGGAGCUUGACUGCGAGACCUACAAGUCGAGCAGGGUCGAAAGACGGACUUAGUGAUCCGGUGGUUCCGCAUGGAAGGGCCAUCGCUCAACGGAUAAAAGCUACCCCGGGGAUAACAGGCUUAUCUCCCCCAAGAGUUCACAUCGACGGGGAGGUUUGGCACCUCGAUGUCGGCUCAUCGCAUCCUGGGGCUGUAGUCGGUCCCAAGGGUUGGGCUGUUCGCCCAUUAAAGCGGUACGCGAGCUGGGUUCAGAACGUCGUGAGACAGUUCGGUCCCUAUCCGUCGUGGGCGUAGGAAAUUUGAGAGGAGCUGUCCUUAGUACGAGAGGACCGGGAUGGACAUACCUCUGGUGUACCAGUUGUCGUGCCAACGGCAUAGCUGGGUAGCUAUGUGUGGACGGGAUAAGUGCUGAAAGCAUCUAAGCAUGAAGCCCCCCUCAAGAUGAGAUUUCCCAACUUCGGUUAUAAGAUCCCUCAAAGAUGAUGAGGUUAAUAGGUUCGAGGUGGAAGCAUGGUGACAUGUGGAGCUGACGAAUACUAAUCGAUCGAAGACUUAAUCAA